AUGGUAAAAGAGCAAUAUUGUUGUGCCUUUCUCGGAAUCAGGUUCUUCUAUUCCAUAUGGCCACUCUCUUCCGUGAGCACUGUCUCUGGCAAAAGUUUAGUGAGCAGUGCCUGUCGGAGUCGUAGGACUCCUGCUACCCGGAGGAGCAAUAUUUACGGACAUCGCUCGAUGUGGCCGACCCCGCCGGCUGCACCUGGUACACGCUCACGCGCAUCAACUAUACUGAUAGUGUCGACGGCGACCCACAGACUUAUGGCGUGCUAG
rnacentral:rRNA from 1 species